AUUCAAAGCAGAUUUAAAAGAUGCCGUCCGAAAAAAGGCGGCAGGGGAACCGGGUGGGAAUCCCGGACAAUGCCCGUUGCUGUAUUGGAGUAGUGGUAUUUCAUGAGGUCACUGUAGGAAAUCCUAUGGGAAGGCGAAAUACUGUGUUUGAUGCCUAAGUCAGAACACCCGCUUUUAAAGGAAUCUGGAA
rnacentral:ncRNA from 2 species